rnacentral:rRNA from 1 species
GACGAACGCUGGCGGCGUGCUUAAUACAUGCAAGUCGAACGGACAGGCCCUGCUUUUGUGGGUUGCUCGAGUGGCGCACGGGGGAGUAACACGUGAGUAACCUGCCCCUGUCUUUGGGAUAACUUCAGGAAACUGGGGCUAAUACCGGAUAGAAUCUCCUGCUGCAUGUGGGGGGUUGGAAAGUUUCGGCGGUUUGGGAUGGUCUCGCGGCUUAUCGGCUUGUUGGGCGGGUUGUGGCUUACCAAGGGUUUGACGGGUAGCCGGCAUGAGAGAGUGACCGGCGACAUUGGGACUGAGAUACGGCCCAGACUCCUACGGGAGGCAGCAGUGGGGAAUAUUGCACAAUGGGCGGAAGCCAGAGGCAGCAACGUCGCGUGCGGAAUGACCGCCUUUGGGUUGUAAACAGAUUUCGCCUGUGAUGAAGCGUGCUUGACGGUACUGGGUAAAGAAGCACCGGCUAACUACGUG